rnacentral:lncRNA from 1 species
AACUAUGCAACACAAGUCUUAGUUCUAUCCUUCUCUUGUCCCGAUAUAGCUGCAAAAUGAGAAGCUUUGGGAAUUUAGGGCAAUGGCCUCUUCUUGCUGCUGCUUUGGCAAUUUGCUUUGUAGCCAACAUUGUUUUUGCUGAUUACACUUAUGGGUAUAUUUCUACCUCAUCUUCUUACAUUUCUUACGUUUUACAAAUCACCAUCUUCACCCAAGUAUCAUGUACCUACUCCUUUCUACAAGUCACCUGCUUCAGCAAUACACUACUACAAGUCACUAGUUCCCGUAAAAGGGAAAAUACUACAAGUCGCCAUCUCCCGCAAAAUACUACAAGUCCCCAGCUCCCGCUAAAUACUACAAGUCGCCAGCUCCUUCAAAGAGCUACUACAAGUCGCCAGCUCCCGCAAAAUACUACAAGGCGCCGUCUCCCGAAAAAUACUACGAGUCGCCAGCUCCCGCUAAAUAUCCCUCGUGGAAUAGUUGGGGUACUUGAGGUGUAAUCUGUAUUUCGCAUUGUGGAAAUUUGGAUCAAGCAUGUUGAUUCAUGUGCUAUGAGUAGUAGGAGACUGGGAGUUCUCCGAUGCAGUUUAUGCGAUAAUUGAGGAUCGUGUGUGUUGUAUUGGUACUGUCAGCGACUAUUGGGAAUUCGGAAGCCGAGUGGAUCUUUCCGUGCUUAGUAUAUUAAAUUCUGGAUAUGUUAUGGGGAUAUAGAGUGAUUGUCUCAGUGUCGGCUUAUUCUAAAUGAUUGUGCUCUAAGUAAUGUUGGGAAAUGCCACAUGUUGCGUGGCGGGGUGUAUCGGACUAUGUUCUAGUUGCUAAAUGAUUGUGCUAUGAGUAAUGUUGGUAAAUGCCACAGGUUGCGUGGCGGGGGUGUAUCGGACUAUGUUCUAGCUGGAUGGUUGUGUACCAAAGACUAGCGAUCAUCUGGGAAGAAUUGCGUUCCUUAAUUGGGCCUUCGAGACGGGUUUCAGCAUAGAGGUUUUUACCAUUGAUUUCGGUUCAUGUAUUGAGGGACUUUUCAGAUACGUCCUUGUAGUCGGGCAUGUCGCCGGGCGAGACUGUGGAUUUCAGUAAUUAUCUGGUGCUGGUUACCAUGUCGUGCGUCUUCGUCAUGAGUCGUAGUAGUGGGAGUGGAAUUUUGUAUCUUACAACGCUAAUAAGAUAUCUUUAUGCACUCAGCUGCUUCGACCGAUAUUGGUAUUUUGUUAUUAUGAGCAAAUUUGGCUCGAUGUGCACCUCCCUAUGUGAGAUAUUGUGUGGAUCGUGUGGCACGCCGCCACGAGUAUGAGCAAUUUGGUUCGAUUUGUACCUCCCUAUGUGAGGCAUGUUGUGUGGAUUGGGUGGCACGCCGCCACGAGUAUGUUAUCUGGAUCGGGUUGCGCGCCGAAAUAGUGUGAGGUUGAGAAUAGCUUUCCAUGUGUUGCUUUGUAAUCCUUGCUUCCCGGCUUCUGAGGAAACUUCGUAUUGAGAAUUUUUUGGCAGAUAGUGUGUCGGUUGUGUCCUUUCAGGACUGAAUAGGGUAUUUUACUUGUUUCCCCGUGAGUGUGAGGGGUAAUUUGGUUUCAGGCAUAGAUCUGUGCAUGGCUUUCUACUGUGAGCAUGGUAACACGAGGCGCUUCAUGUGUAACGGUGUUGGGAUAGGAUCGCGUGUUGUGGCGAGGCCACGUGAAGUUAUGACCUCUCGAGGAGGAUUCAGGUACUCUAUUCUUAUGACGUGAGACAGGGUCUCAAUUUGGUUUUGUGAAGGUAUUGAUGAGCGUGAGGCAUAACUCUUCUGGUUGAGUCAUUUGCCUGAUUUGGGUAUGUAUAGACUGUUCCUUAUUAGCGCGUGUAUUAUGCAAUUGUGGCUUAGGCCUGUAUUGAGGCACCAUAUCACCCGAAGUGGUGUGAUUGAUUCGAGGUGAUCAUUGGGUUACUAAUAAGUAUAUGUAAUAUACAAUUGUGGCUUAGGCCUGUAUUGAGGCACCAUAUCACCCGAAGUGGUGUGAUUGAUUCGAGGUGAUCAUUGGGUUACUAAUAAGUAUGGGCAUAUUUGAUUUCAGCUGGUUAGAGUGGUAACAUCGAGGUUUGGCCCAAAAAAAAAAUCAUUUGUGGUAAUAGUCAACUUGGAUGUGACUUCAUGAACGGUUGAUCUGAAGAACUGCUACGGUUUGUUGCGUGUUUUAGUGAUCGUUGGCAAUAUGCGGAAGUGUUGGAAUAAGACUUUAGCUAGAUAAGAGGUUUCCUAUUGGUAAUUGAGUACUGUGGGAAACUGCUGUGAAUAGAGACUAUUGUUCCGAGUGUUGGAAUGUGGUGUAUAUUGUAUGAGUUCACCUGAGGUUGCAGGUGUGGUUUUUACAGCUGGUUCGAAUUGAUUUUGAGUAUAGAUGCAAGGUUCUGAUCUUGUGUGUGAUUUCGGGUAGUGCAGUGUGAUUGAUUUUGAGUAUAGAUGCGAGGUUCUGAUCUUGUGUGUGAUUUCGGGUAGUGCAGUGUGGUUCUACUGUUUAUGGUCCAGAUGGAUUGUGAAAUUUUAGCUGUGUUGUGUUAUCGGUACCUAUGUGAGUUAGGGUGACGUGGGAUCACCCCGAUCAUAUGAGUGGCAAUGUCGUGUGGUUAUUGGGUUUCUUCUAGUACAACUCUGGGUACGCUCGAGGACGAGCGUUCGCUUAAGUUGGGGAGGAUGUGACGACCCGACCCGUCAUCUCCGUAUUUCAGCCCCGUUAUCCCCGUAUUAUUCUUCCGCAUGUGUUGAUAUAUGUGUUUGGUGAGUUGAAAGUGCGUUGGAUUGAAUUUGGUUAGAGUAUUUCAACUCCGUUAUCCCCGUAUUAUGCUUCCCCGUGUGUUGAUAUAUGUGUUUGGUGAGUUGGAAAUAUAUUGGGUUUAAUUUGGUUAGAAAUGAGACGAAUAGUCUCUUUAAGGAAAGCUUAAGUUGGCAAAACCAACGGAUAUUGACUUAUGAGUUAGAGGGCUUGGAAUGGAUUUCCGGCCAUUCUACUAGUUUCGGAUGAUGAUUUGUGACUUGGGAGAGAAGGCGGAAUUGAAUUUGGAGGCCCGGUGUAGAAUUAGGCUUGAAUUGGCUAAGUUAAAUUUCGCCGAAUUCCGGUUGAUAGGUGAGAUUUUGAUCUGGGGUUCGGAAUGGAAUUCCAAGAGUUGCAGUAGCUUCGUUAGGUGAUUCGGGUUAUGCCUGCAAAUUUUCAAGUCAUUCGGGCUUUGUUUGGUUGGUUUCGGCAUCGAAUGAGAUUUUGAGAGGUUCAUGUUUAUCUUAGGCUUUGAUUUGAUGAUUUUGGUGAUUUUUUGUUUUUAAGCUAGUGUUUUUAUGGCUCAAGCAAGUUUGAAUGAGGUAUUUGGUCAUAAUUGUGUUUUGGUUUGGACCCCGGGGGCCUCGGGGUGAUAUCGGAUGGUUAAACGAGGACUUUUUGGAGUUAAGCUUGAAAAAUGGUUGUUGCUUCUGGUAUUUUUGCGGAAAUGGCAGGGAGACCACUUAAGCGGGUGUCCACAGAAGUGGACAAUAAGCCGCAGAAGCGGUCAAGGGGGAAGCAAGAGACCGCAGAAGCGGUCAAAGGGACCGCUUACGUGGGAGUCGCGGAAGCGGUAGAUCGACCACAGAAGCGGCCGCUGAAGAAAUAGGCAGACGUGGAAGCAAUCAACUGGACGGGGAAGCGAGGACCGUUGAAGCGGAAAAAUACCGCGGAAGCGGAAAUCGUCCAAUUUUAAUGAAAUCAGAGGGUUUAAUAUUUUGAAAAGGAGAAGAACAAUAGAACUUCGGGCUGAGGCGAAUGAGAGAGGUUUGGAGAGAUUUUCGAUGGGAUUCUUCAAGUAUGAUCUCUUAGACCUCGAAUAUGUUAUUAUGGUGCUAAAUCAUGGAUUAAAUACUUAGAAAUCAAGGUCUUUAGUGUCAAAUGGUGGUUAGGGCUUGAAACACAGGUGAACCUUUAAGUGUUGAUUUGUGGGGGUCAAAUGGACUCUGAUUCUUGUAAAUUUGAUAUGUAUGGACUCGUGGCGAGACGAGAAUUCUGAAAAUGUGAAUUUCGUAAUUUUUCGAGAAGUGGGCUCAGGGCUCGGGUUUUGCCAACUUCGUAUUUUUGGGUGUAUUUCGAGUUCUUUCGAUUGGGUUAUGUUCCAUUAGCCUAUUGUGACGUAUUCCUAUUAUUUUUGGUGUAUUUCGAGAUAUUUCAAUUGGGUUAUGUUCCAUUAGUCUAUUUUGACGUAUUCCUAUUGGUUUUGAGCAGAUUUGGCAUCCGCGGAGGUUGAUUCUCGAGGGGAAGGGAUUAUGAGCUAGUUUCUGGCCGGCUUGAGGUAAGUAAUGUGUGUAGAUGAUGACCCGAGGGUUCGAAACCCCGGUAUAUCACAUUGUGACGCUCUAUUGAGGCGAGACACGUAUUCUAUUGAGAGUGCAUGGUCGAUUAUGAUUGGGAACUAUGGCUUCGGAACCCCGGCAUAUCACAUUGUGGCGCUGUAUUGAGGCGCGACACAUACUCUAGUACGAGUGCGGGGUCGAUUAUGAUUGGGGACUAUGGCUUAGUCCGACCGCAUGUUCCGUAGUGGUCAUGCAUUGCAUUGCAUCUCAUGCAUUUAUUUACUGUUGCUUUAUAUGGAUUUAUCUGAGGCUUGUACUGUAUAUAACUGUUUAACUAGCUUUACUCUGUGCUUUAUUUUGGAUUUCCUGCUUUCGGGUUUUUAUACAUGCUUAUUACUCGUGAGGUUGUAGACUCACCCCAUACUCCCUGCACCUUGUGUGCAAAUUCGGGUGCUCCAGAGACUUAGUUCUGCUGCUGUUGAUUUUCGAGCUAUUAAGGGUAUUGAGGUAGCUGCCCAGCGUCCGCAGGACCAUUUAGUCUGUCUCUAUCAGUCAUGUUCUUUUGCUAUUUUAUCAGACUCUGUAUCAUUUCCAUUCAGACUUGCAUUCUGUUUUGUUAGAGGCUCUGGACUCGUGACUCCUCGGUUUUAGGGAGGAUUAUUAUUCAGCUAUGUUUUUCUUGGGUAUGAAUUACCCCUUGGGUUGAGAGUUUGUUAUUGAAUUUCGCUGGUUAUUCCUAAACUAUUUCUCUUUGGGUUGGGAUGUCGUUCUUAAUUGUGGUUCGGAUUGAGAGUUUGUUAUUGAAUUUAGCUGGUUAUUCCUAAACUAUUUCUCUUUGGGCUGGGAUGCCGUUCUUAAUUGUGGUUUGGUCGGCCUUGCCUAUCCUCGCGGCCGGGCGCCAUCACGAGCGAGUUUGUGUCGUGACAGCUCGCAAAUUGGAGCCGCUUUUUUGAGUGUAUUCGCUUGAAGUGACAAAAAACUAAUAAAAUAUAGGAAAGAAAAAUUUGGAAAUUAAGAAAAAGACAAAUAGGAAAUUGGGAGAUAACCAAAAAGCGAAAGAAUGAGACUAAAGGAAAUAUAAAGAGGAAUUUUUAGAAAUCACUAUUGUUUAGUGGCUAUUAACUUCCUAUAGCUAUCAUAUACAUAAUUACUCCCUCUAGCUAUUAUUCAGUUGUUAUAAUAGUUAGAAAUCACUAUUGUUUAGUGGUUAUUAACUUCCUAUAGCUAUCAUAUACAUAAUUACUUCCUCUAGCUAUUAUUCAGUGGUUACAAUAGUAUCUUCGUUGUAUUCACGCUGUUGUAUUCAUGAAUACAACAACAAAAAAUGCCUAAAAAUCAGGAAAAUCCAGCUGUACGCACAUGUAUUCGCACCAUGUAUUCAUGCAUACAAAAUUAAAAAGCACCUAAAAUCAGCGCAGUCCAGCUGUACGCGCAUGUAUUCUCAUGUAUUCGCGGCAUGUAUUCAUGAAUACAACAACAAAUAAUUCCUAAAACUAAGGCAAUCUAGUUGUACGCACAUGUAUUCACAUGUAUCGCAUUGCUGUAUUCAUGAAUACUGCUAGCGGUGUACAUAGGUCGGGUUGGUUCGGAUUUUACAAUUACCAAACCAAAUCAAUUGUGUUGGGUUAAUAAAUCUAAAAACCAAACCAAACCAAUAAAACUCGGUUUUCACUCUCGGUUUCUCGGAUUUUUUGGUUAUUAAAAUUUUUUUCCGGUAAAAUAUUCGUAGAAUAAAACACAUAAAUUGUGCUCAAAGUACUUCUUUAGUCCUAGUAAGAUACAACUAUAUAAAGUAUUUUUCAAGAAAAUAAUAAAAUAUGAGAGAUGUCAUGGCAUUAUCCUAAAAUAUCCAACAAUAAAGACAAUAAAAUUAUGUAAUAUUAAUAUUGUUAGUUAAAAAUCCAUAAUAACAAUAAAUAUAAUUUAAAAAUACUAAGUCAUGCUAAAAUAAGUAGACUAACAAGGGAGUAUUAAUUACAUAACUAAACGCUAAAGAUAAAAUAAAAAUAGGUUAUAGAAUUCCUAAUAUUUUUGUGAAAUAGCUAAUGACUAUUCCUAUUUUUAAAUAUUAGAAAAAAUAAUAAAAUGACUAUUUUGCUUAGUGUGAAAUUUAAUUUUAAGGGGUAUAAAAAGCGAACGAUAUUUUGCUAAGGGCUUUUGUGUUUUUAAUAUAGUAUAAAUAAUGAAUAAAUGAAAUUAUGAAAAAUUAAAAUAGAUUUUAAUCUAUUAUGAACAAAUGAAGUUAUGAAAAAAUUAAAAUAGAUCAUAAUCUAAAAUUGUCAUUGAGACCCAAGUCUUUCGAUUUUGAAAGAAGAAAACUCGCAAAUUGGAGCCGCUUUUUUGAGUGUAUUCGCUUGAAGUGGCAGAAAAACUAAUAAAAUAAAUGAAAGAAAAUAUGGAAAUUAAGAAAAAGACAAAUAGGAAAUGGGAGAUAACCGAAACGCGAAAGAAUGAGACAAAAGGAAAUAUAAAGUGGAAUUUUUAGAAACUACUAUUGUUUAGUGGCUAUUAAUUUCCUAUAGCUAUCAUCUACAUAAUUACUUUCUCUAUCUAUUAUUCAUUUGUUACAAUAGUGUCUUCGUUGUAUUCAUGCUGUUGUAUUCAUGAAUACAACAACAAAAAAUGCCUAAAAAUCAGGACAAUUCAGCUGUACGCACAUGUAUUCAUGCAUACAAAAUUAAAAAGCACCUAAAAUCAGCACAGUCCAGCUGUACACGCAUGUAUUCGCGACAUGUAUUCAUGAAUACAACAACAAAAAAUGCCUAAAAUUAAGGCAAUCUAGCUGUACGCACAUGUAACAUGUAUCGCAUUGCUGUAUUCAUGAAUACGGCUAGGGGUGUAUAUAGGUCGGGUUGGUUCGGAUUUUAGCAAUUACCAAACUAAAUCAAUUGUGUUGGGUUAUUAAAUCUAAAGACCAAACCAAACCAACAAAACUCGGGUAUUUCACUCUCGGUUUCUCGGAUAUUUUGGUGAUUCAAUUUUUUUUUCCGGUAAAAUAUUCGUCGAACAAAAUAUAGAAAUUGUGCUCAAAGUACUUCUUUAGUCCUAGUAACAUACAACUAUAUAAAUUAUUUUUCAAGAAAAUAAUACAAAAUAUGAGAGAUGUCAUGGCAUUAUCCUAAAAUCCAACAAUAAAGACAAUAAAAUGAUGUAAUAUAAAUAUUGUUAGUUAAAAAUCCAUAAUAACAAUAAAUAUAAUCUAAAAGUACAGUCAUGCUAAAAUAAGUAGACUAACAAGGGAGUAUUAAUUACAUAACUAAACACUAAAGAUAAAAUAAAAAUAGGUUAUGUGUUUUAUCUAAAUUAUAACAAAACAAAAAUAGACAUUCAAUACAUUCCCGUUCGUAGUAUUGAAUUGAAUGUCGUUUGUUAGUAUUAAUAUUGAUUUGAUUUUGGUUUGAGCUUUUGUUAGCACUAUUUAAUUUACUAAUGUUAAUUGCUAUAAAACUUAUUUGAACAAAAGUUCUAAGUCCAACCUUGAAAAAAUAAUUCAAAAGAUAAAAUUAUGAAAUUCUUAAGGAAUAUUUAUAAAUUACAUCAUAAUAAGUAUAUUUAUAUAUUAAAUAUACCUAAGUUUUCUAUAUAUGUAAUGUCGAGUUGGUUUGGUUUUGGUUUAACUUUCUUUAGUUAAAAUCAAACCAAACCAAUUAUGGUUGAUUUUUUUUCCCAACACCAAGCCAAUUCAAACCAAAUCAUAGUCGAAUUUUUUUUCUCGGGUUGACUCAGAUUAUCGGGUUAGUGGGGUUUGUCGGUUUCCUUUGUACACCCCUAGAUACAAUAGUAGAAAACCCUAAAAUCAUGGCAGUCCAACUGUAGGCGCAUGAGUAUUCGCGCCAUGUAUUCAUGAACACAGUAACGACAAUUACCUUAAAAAUAGGUAUAUACAGCUGUCUAAGAAAGAGGAAAAAUAUAAAUAGCUUAUUUCAUGCCUUAAUGAUAGUAUAUACCAUAAAUACUUAUUUUGCUAUAAACUAUAAAAGAUAGCUUGAAAAACAUAAAUAGCUUAUUUUAUGCCUUAAUGGUAGUAUAUACCAUAAAUACUUAUUUUGCUAUAAACUAUAAAAGGUAGCUAUAAAAAAUAAUAUUUUUAAAUAAUUUUGAUUUAUAAUAAAUAGGGUGGAUGCCUUUGCUAUAGGAAGUAAAAUUUCCAAAUAUAAAACACAAAACGGGAGCCAAAUAGAAUUUAACCUAAAUUCUAAUUUGGGUCUUACACAGAAAAUCUUCCAAAUAGGCCUCCCAACAAUGUCAUAUAUGUUUAGUUUGCGAUUUCGGGUGGUAGGAUCAUAUAUUUAAUUUAGUUUAAUAAAAUUUCAGCCUAGGUAUAUAAAUUUUUAUCAACCUAGUGGGUGCCACGCCUCCCUCACCAUAAGGGGUGGUUCCGCCAAUGGGUAUAUUUGGCACCUCCCAUCUGAACACGUAGCGAGUAACUCUAACCAACUUUGCUUAGGUAGGAAGAAACCAUCUAGUUUGUUGGAGACUAAUAUUAAUAUUACUAAACUUCUUGUUUGAGAUGCAAUCAAAUGUUAGAUACAUCAGAAAUGGUUACUUAGCCUUACAGGAAUAAUUACAAUUACACCCCGUGAAACAAAAGAGACUAUUACUAUCAACCAGAAUUGAGUAAAAGAAAAGGACUUGAAGAAGAAAAUAUUGUGAAAACAAGAAAGAAACCUCCUCUCCACACCCAUAACAAAUAGUCAAUUCCUUAACUUCACCAAUUGUAUACCAGUCGUGGCAACCUUAUUUCAUUUUCAAUUUAAUAUUCUUUUUUUUUUCUAUCACCAGGAGAAUGCUUGCCACUAAGUAGUGACCAUGUCUUUAUUUGGACUUUGCUAUCAUCUUAGUGGUUAACCAUGAUGCAGUUAUAUAAAUGUUAAAGAAAGAUGUCUCCCUGCAGUAUAAAACUAGAGUUCCUUACUCAACUAUGCAACACAAGUCUUAGUUCUAUCCUUCUCUUGUCCCGAUAUAGCUGCAAAAUGAGAAGCUUUGGGAAUUUAGGGCAAUGGCCUCUUCUUGCUGCUGCUUUGGCAAUUUGCUUUGUAGCCAACAUUGUUUUUGCUGAUUACACUUAUGGGUAUAUUUCUACCUCAUCUUCUUACAUUUCUUACGUUUUACAAAUCACCAUCUUCACCCAAGUAUCAUG